rnacentral:rRNA from 1 species
CCUACGGGUGGCUGCAGUGAGGAAUAUUGGUCAAUGGACGCAAGUCUGAACCAGCCAUGCCGCGUGCGGGAGGACGGCUCUGUGUGUUGUAAACUGCUUUUGUACGGGGGUAAACACAGAGACGCGUCUCUGUCUGAGAGUAUCUUACGAAUAAGCAUCGGCUAACUCCGUGCCAGCAGCCGCGGUAAUACGGAGGAUUCAAGCGUUAUCCGGAUUUAUUGGGUUUAAAGGGUGUGUAGGCGGUCGGGUUAGUUAGAGGUUAAAUCCCGGGGCUCAACCUCGGAACUGCCUUUGAUAAUGGUAGGCUCGAGGGGGAGUGAAGUAGGCGGGAAGCACGGUGUAGCGGUGAAAUG